AUACAUUAUAUAAACAAACUUAAUUUUGUUAAUUUGUUCAAGAUUCUACUGGGAGCCCGAACGGUUGGUUCGGAGGCUCACACUGGAAUUCCUCAACAUCGGAGCUGGAUGAUAAACUGGAUGACAAACUACCAACCUAUGACGGUGGUUGGUUCGGCGCUAAGCGAGUCAGGACGUACAGUGAGAGUGAUGGACCACGUGUAAAGAUUGACGUCAUGUCCUGGCUCUCAGGCACACCUCGGCCAAUUGAAGCGUCAAGAACAAGGAAACUCUCCGAGCCAACAAACCGGAGAAUCAGGAGACAUUCUACACAAGAAGUUGAAGAAGCCAUGGCAGGCGGACUAAAUAAGGCUGACAUCUACAUGCCUCCUUUCUAGUAAACCGUGGACCUUCUCAACAUUUGGUUGUAAUUAAUGCGGUACAGUACAUGUACAUGAAGUAGCAUACGUACUACUACACAACCAGAUCAUGAUUUAUGUACAUUUACAUACAUUGUAUAUGAACCAUUGAAACGUGGGAUUGAAGAGAAAAAAGAAGAAAGUUUUCAACCAUUAUUUUUUUAAUUUUUCAUUCUUUUUUCUUAAUAUUUAUGUUACUUUAAAUUUCUGUGAUCAAUUUCUAUAUAUAUAUGAAUAUUUGUAAAACUACUAUUAUGUGGCUCGUUUUUAAAUUUUACUUGAAAUGUUUUUAUAAUAAUCUAAGCACACCUUUGUUACAGUUCAAACCUUGAUGUUGAUAAAUUGAUUGAUUGAUAAAUUACCAAUAGAUAACUCGAAGAUUGGCAUUAACGUCUGAAGGUACUCAAUGGUGAAUAAACUAUCUUGUUGCAUGAAAACCAUUUGGUGCAGUUCUGAACUUGAUGUUCUUAAAAUUGAAAGUCCGAAGGCGCAAUUGUGAAAUAAAUGCCCUUGUUAUGAUAAAA